AGCGAACGCUGGCGGCAGGCCUAACACAUGCAAGUCGAACGAACUCUUCGGAGUUAGUGGCGGACGGGUGAGUAACACGUGGGAACGUGCCUUUAGGUUCGGAAUAACUCAGGGAAACUUGUGCUAAUACCGAAUGUGCCCUUCGGGGGAAAGAUUUAUCGCCUUUAGAGCGGCCCGCGUCUGAUUAGCUUGUUGGUGGGGUAAUGGCCCACCAAGGCGACGAUCAGUAGCUGGUCUGAGAGGAUGACCAGCCACAUUGGGUCUGAGACACGGCCCAAACUCCUACGGGAGGCAGCAGUGGGGAAUCUUGUGCAAUGGGCGAAAGCCUGACGCAGCCAUGCCGCGUGAAUGAUGAAGGUCUUAGGAUUGUAAAAUUCUUUCACCGGGGACGAUAAUGACGGUACCCGGAGAAGAAGCCCCGGCUAACUUCGUGCCAGCCGCCGCGGUAAUAC
rnacentral:rRNA from 1 species